rnacentral:lncRNA from 1 species
UCCUUUAGUCAGCAUUUGGGUUUUAAACCCUAGACUGAACUCUUUCCUUCAGUCAGUAUUAGGGUUUUAAACCCUAAACUGAACUUUUUCCAUUCAGUCAGCAUUAGGGUUUUAAACCCUAAACUAAACUCUUUCCAGCCAGUCAGUAUUAGGGUUUUAAACUCUAAACUGAACUUUCCCUUUAGUCAGCAUUAGAGUUUUAAACCCUAAACUGAACUCUUUCCUUCAGUCAGCAUUAGGGUUUUAAACCCUAAACUGAACUCUAUUCUAUUCAGCCAGCAUUAGGGUUUUAAACCCUAAACUGAACUUUUCCUUUAGUCAGCAUUAGGGUUUUAAACCCUAAACUGAUCUUUUUCUUAGUCAGCAUCAGGAUUUUAAACCCUAAACUAAACUUUUCCUUUAGUCAGCAUUAGGGUUUUAAACCCUAAACUGAACUCUAUUCCAUUCAGCCAGUAUUAAAGUUUUAAACCCUAAACUGAACUUUUCCUUUAGUCAGCAUUAGGGUUUUAAAC